CUAUUUGAAAUGAAAUAUCAUCUACGGGUUCGGUCCGUAUCUUGGUGGGACUCCGCCCAAAUAGG
rnacentral:tRNA from 1 species